UACGGGGGGGGCAAGCGUUGUUCGGAAUUACUGGGCGUAAAGGGCUCGUAGGCGGCCAACUAAGUCGGACGUGAAAUCCCCAGGCUCAACCUGGGAACUGCGUCCGAUACUGGAUGGCUUGAAUCCGGGAGAGGGAUGCAGAAUUCCAGGUGUAGCGGUGAAAUGCGUAGAUAUCUGGAGGAAUACCGGUGGCGAAGGCGGCAUCCUGGACCGGCAUUGGCGCUGAGGCGCGAAAGCCAGGGGAGCAAACGGG
rnacentral:rRNA from 1 species